rnacentral:tRNA from 6 species
GGGUGAUUAGCUCAGUUGGUUAGAGCAUUACGUUGACAUCGUAAAGGUCGGUGGUUCGAGUCCACUAUCACUCACCA